UUUGAGAGCUUUCUUUCUAUUCCGAUUCCUUAACACGCAAACCGCCGUCUCAUCUCUCUCUCUGAAAAAAUAAAAAAAAUUUGGUUUCUUUUUCUCUUUGACAUUUUCACACCUACCUCAGUUUCACACCACCCCAUCACCAUAUAAAACCCUUUCCCUUUCUCUCCCCUCAAUUCUUUUCGAUCUCUCACUUUCUUUUUUCUUCCGGCAUUUCCUCGAUCUUUCGUCUUCUUUCCACCAACCAAACUCGUGGAAACGCCAUAUAUAUCGUCAAGCACGUAGAUAUGGAGGGUCAUCAUCAUCCUCCUCAUCACCAUCCUCAGUUGCACCCACAGGUUUCGCAUCUCCAGUAUGGCGGCGGCGUGAGUGUCGACGCCAGCGUCGGCGGCGGCGGCGGGAGUGGCGGGGUGGCGGAUAGGUUUCCUCAAUGGAGUAUUCAAGAAACCAGGGAUUUCUUGAUCAUCCGGGCCGAGCUGGAUCCGACCUUCAUGCAGACUAAACGUAAUAAGCUCCUCUGGGAAAUCAUCGCCUCUAAGAUGAAGGAAAAGGGUUACAAUCGAAGCGCUGAACAGUGCAAGUGCAAGUGGAAAAACCUCGUCACUCGUUACAAGGGAUGUGAAACGAUGGAGCCGGAAGGGAUGAGACAGCAGUUCCCAUAUUACAACGAGCUGCAAACGAUAUUCAAUACGAGGAUGCAAAGAAUGCUGUGGAUGGAGGCGGAGGGCGGCAGCAGCACGGCCGGCGGGUCGAAGAAGAAGGCGGGAAUGGCGCUAUCGUCGGACGAGGAGGAGGAGAACGAGGAGAGCGACGGGGAGGCGAAGAGUGGUCGGAAGAAGAGGAAGGUGGUGAAAAGCGGGGGGAGUGGGAAUAACGUGGUGAAUAGUUUGAGGGAGAUUUUGGAGGAUUUCAUGAAGCAGCAGAUGCAAAUGGAGGCGCAGUGGAUGAAGGCGGUGGAGGCGCGGGAGGAGGAGCGGAGGAUAAAGGAGAUGGAGUGGCGGCGGACGAUGGAGGCGCUGGAGAACGAGCGGGUGAUGAUGGAGAGGCGGUGGAGGGAGAGGGAGGAGCAGAGGAGGGCGAGGGAGGAAGCCAGGGCGGAGAAGAGAGAUGCGCUUAUCACCGCGCUGUUGAACAAGCUUCGAAGAGAAGACUUGUAGGGUUUUUCUUUUUCAUCCAUGGCGGAUCGGAGCUGAGGAACCAAAAAGGGACUUUAGAUUGCGGCGGCGAUCAGAGGUUUGUCUCCAAACUCUUCAACAUUUGAAGGAAAAGUGUUCCUUUGUUUUUCACCUAACAUUAAACAGAUCGAACUCAUCAUGUUCUUCGUAUCUAUACUAUGUCCUUCAAGACUUGUCUUGCAUUGCAAGUUAGCAUAUUAGACUAAAAAUUAAUCAAAAUUUCCUUUCCCUUAUCUUUAUGCACAAUUGUUGUAUUAUCAAUUUAUUAUCUUCAAAUAAAUUUUGGGUAUUUAUAUAUUU